UGCGUAGGCGGAAUAAUAAGUCAGUGGUGAAAUCCUGUGGCUCAACCACAGAACUGCCAUUGAUACUGUUAUUCUUGAAUAUAGUUGAGGUAGGCGGAAUGUGUAAUGUAGCGGUGAAAUGCUUAGAUAUUACGCAGAACACCGAUUGCGAAGGCAGCUUGCUAAACUAUUAUUGACGCUGAGGCACGAAAGCGUGGGGAGCGAACAGGAUUAGAUACCCUGGUAGUCC
rnacentral:rRNA from 1 species